UAUCAGUUGGCCAGGCAGUGUACUUAACCAAUGACUAGCAUUUACAGUGUUUACACACUGUAAAUGCAAGUCAUUGGUUAAGUACACUGCCUGGCCAACUGAUA
rnacentral:miRNA from 1 species